rnacentral:rRNA from 1 species
GUCAAAUCAUCAUGCCCCUUAUGCCCUGGGCUACACACGUGCUACAAUGGCCGGGUACAGAGGGAGGCGAAGCGGUAACGCGGAGCGAAUCCCAAAAAACCGGUCUCAGUUCGGAUUGUGGGCUGCAACUCGCCCACAUGAAGUCGGAAUCGCUAGUAAUCGCGGAUCAGCAUGCCGCGGUGAAUACGUUCCCGGGCCUU